UUCUAUGGCCAUGCCACCCUGAACAAGCCCAAUCCCAUCUGAUCUUGGAAGCUAAGCAGGGUUGGGCCUGGUUAGUACUUGGAUGGGAGAUCACCUAGGAAGACCAGGUGCGUGUAAAAA
rnacentral:rRNA from 1 species